rnacentral:lncRNA from 1 species
GUUGGUCGACACCCACGUCGCGACGUCCCAGGACACGACGUAGCCCAUCCCGUGCAUGAACUGCAUCGGGUCGUCGCCGACGGCGAAGCCGUAGCCGAGGUAGACGUCGUCGCGGGGCUUGUGCCGGAGCUCGUCGACCAGCGCGGCCACGCGGAGGUACGUGUCGUCGUCGGUCUUCAUCACGUAGUCGUAGGGCGACGACGCGAACAUCCGCGGCACGGAGGAGAGGUACUCGUGCGUCUUGCCGUCGUUCAUGUUCUCCGUGCAGUUGAGCACCAGGAUGUCGCCGUGCCGCGCGGCCUCCAGCACCACCAGCUGCGCGUCCACCGGGUCGGCCACGCGGCAGAACACGAAGCGGACGUCCACCUGCGCGACGCCGGGGGGCACCGCCGGCUGCAGCGCGUACGCCAGGCGCACGAUGUUGCGACGCUCGUACCGCUUCGGCGUCGUCAGCACCCCCACCAGCAGACGGAGCUCCGGCCGCACGACGGCCUUCGUCUCAGCAGCAGCAGCAGCAGCGGAAGCUGCAUCUCCACCCGGCGUGACGAGGUAGCCGUCGGCGGUGGAUGGGCCGGCGUGGCAGAGGACGCCGAGGCCGUCGGAGCGGACGUGGGAGGAGCCGAGGCUGGGGACGACGAGCACCACGGCGAGGAGGCCGAGCGGCACCAGCAGGAGAUACGGGGUGCAGAGCGAGGCGGUGGCCGGGAACCCGUGCGACGACGACGACGACGACGAUGCGGUCUUCAUCGUAAAAAUCUCGCGGGGAAAUGCAAGUGCCCCUCGCACGAUCGCGGCCCGCGCGUUACUCGAGCUAUAGCCGUACUCGACUUAUAACCAGGCACGAACGCGCGCUGGUUUAGCGAUGUGGGACUAAAAUUUCAGCAUUUUCCCCCUCUCUCUCUAUCUCGUGUCAAAAGCGUCGGUGGAAACGAACGGUUCUUCGCGGAAGAAGUCGUCGUGGCAAUGGCAAUGUGGCAUCACCCACGGGAGUACGCGACACGGGCUCGAUCGAUCGAUCGUCGUCGAGGCUGCCGUCAUCAACGGCGACAAGGAACCUUACUCGAUAAGUUUACUGGAUAAUUUUGGGUUGUCUCGUGCCACAUGACAGGGGAUGUUUCAACGGCCAACGCCAUAUGGUAGGUGGCAGACGGCCGGGGAUAUACCCCAGCCCUCCAGAGCUCUAGUUUUAUCGCCAAUGUAUGGAAGGACAGCUCAGGGGUACAUCGAAAAUUCGAAAGGGAUUUGAUUAAAAUAACAAGUACACAGUGAGCAAUCAUUCAAUCAUUCAUGCUGAGAUUCGAGGCAUCCAGCUUCCAGCAUGCAUUGUUGGCGACUUGGCGUGAUCGUUUUGAGUUCGGGGGCGGCUGGAACAGAAGAAGGUCGCUGGGAACAGGCAAGCUUGUCGGCUACUACUACUUGCGCGAUAGAUAUGCCCGGUGUGUGUUCAAUUGUUCAUGACAUGCCUGAUGCCUUGGCUGGAGGACGAUCGAAACCGAGAUCUCACCAACUUAUACAAAUGAUGGUAGAUUAAUAGGCAGGGAAAUUGACAAUUCUUGCGGAUGCUUUUGCCUGUAUGAUCGCCUUAAUUUGAGAUCGUGAUUUUUCAGUGAAAAAAUCGAUUUCGUGCAACUUCGAAACGUUGAGGGUUAAUUGGCUAAUGCAGCUGGUCUUCUGUUGAGUAAUUCAACAUAAGAAUUCUACUAGCAGAUCGAUAUAGUGUUGACCUGUUCUCUCUAUUUUGUAAAUAUAAAGUUUAGACCUUUUCUGGGUAUAUGGCAUGUGUUAUGGCAAAGUCGGUCAGACUGAUCAUACAGUGAAACCAACUUGGUCUGGUCUUUCUUUCUCAGAAUACAACCUGAAUGUACGCGUACCCAUGCAUGUCUACUUCAAUUGAUUAAUUAAGUUUUGUACUUUCUAGUAAUAUACGGCAUUGUUUACUUUUGGAUAUGAUAUUUGACCAUUGAUUUUAUUAAAAAAAACCUAAGUAAUAUUUAUUUAGUUGUGAUUUGUUUUAUUAUUAAAGGUUCCUUAAGCAUGACUAUAUAUAUUGUUUUAUGUAUUUAUACUAUACGAAUAAUCAAACAUCAUGUCUAAGAGUCGGCUAUGUUAUAUAUUAAAAUCAGAGAGAAAUAGAGAAUAUAUACUAGCUAGUAAAAUGUUGGAUAGCAACAUAAUUGCGACGGAGGUAGUAUAUCUAUUAUAUUAUUAAAGGAAUUGAAAAAGGAGCCUCCACAUUCGCUCUCAUGGUCUAGAAAUUCUCACAUUAAUCGGACAAAAAGAAAAAACAGAGUUCAUAUAGAAAUACAAUUUAGAAAUAGCUGAAAUUCGGAAUUAAAAAAUAAGGAAUAUUAGAAGAGUUGACUAGAGUCCAUAUAGAAAUACAAUUUAGAAAUAGUUGAAAUUCGGAAUUAAAAAUAAGGAAUAUUAGAACAGGAGACUAGAGUCCAUAUAGAAAUACAAAUUAGGAAAUAACUGAAAUUCGGAAUUAAAAAUAAGAAAUAUUAGAAGUAGAGUAUAGAGUCCAUAUAGAAAUACAAAUUAGGAAAUAACUGAAAUUCGGAAUUAAAAAUAAGAAAUAUUAGAAGUAGAGUAUAGAGUCCAUAUAGAAAUACAAUUAGGAAAUAACUGACAUUCAAAAUUAAAAAUAAAGAAUAUUAGAAGUAGAGUAUAGAGUCCAUAUAGAAAUACAAUUAGGAAAUAACUGAAAUUCAGAAUUAAAAAUAAGGAAUAUUAGAAGUAGAGUACAGAUUCCAUAUAGAAAUACAAUUAGGAAAUAACAGAAAUUCGGAAUUAAAAAUAAGGAAUAUUAGAAUUAGAGUAUAUAGUCCAUAUAGAGAUACAAUUAAGAAAAAAACAGAAAUUCGGAAUUAAAAAAAGGAAUAUUAGAAGUAGAGUAUAAAGUCCAUAUAGGAAUUUAAAACUAACUAAAAUUCGGAAAAAAAAAGAGUCUCCAUGUUCACUCUCAUGACCUAGAAAUUCUCAUAUUAAUCGGAGAAAAAGAAAAAGCAAAGUCCAUAUAGAAAUACAAUUUAGAAAUAGCUGAAAUUCGGAAUUAAGAAAUAAGGAAUAUUAGAAGAGGAGACUAGAGUCCAUAUAGAAAUACAAUUAGGAAAUAACUGAAAUUCGAAAUUAAAAAUAAGGAAUAUUAGAAGAAGAGUAUAUAGUCCAUAUAGAAAUACAAUUAGGAAAUAACAAAAAUUCGGAAUUAAAAAUAAGAAAUAUUAGAAGUAGAGUAUAGAGUCCAUAUAGAAAUACAAUUAAGAAAAAAAAUAGAAAUUUGGAAAUAAAAAAAAAGAAAUAUUAGAAGUAGAGUAUAGAGUCCAUAUUGGAAUUUAAAACUAACUAAAAUUCGGAACAAAAAGGAGCCUCCAUACAAUUAAGAAAAAAAAUAGAAAUUUGGAAAUAAAAAAAUAAGAAAUAUUAGAAGUAGAGUAUAGAGUCCAUAUUGGAAUUUAAAACUAACUAAAAUUCGGAACAAAAAGGAGCCUCCAUACAAUUAAGAAAAAAAAUAGAAAUUUGGAAAUAAAAAAAUAAGAAAUAUUAGAAGUAGAGUAUAGAGUCCAUAUUGGAAUUUAAAACUAACUAAAAUUCGGAACAAAAAAGAGCCUCCACGUUCGCUCUCAUGGCCUAGAAAUUCUCACAUUAAUAUAAGAAAAAGAAAAAGCAGAGUCCAUAUAGAAAUACAAUUUAGAAAUAGCUGAAAUUCAGAAUUAAAAAAUAAGGAAUAUUAGAAGAGGAGACUAGAGUAGUUAUUACACAUUAGUAGUUUCGUAAAGUUAUUGCAAAAUUUAAAAUUAUGUUGUCAUUGUAAUAUAUUUUAAUAAUAAAAUGAGAAAACAUAUAUGCUAUUAUACGUGAGAAAAUAUAAUGAUGCUAACCGCGUAAUCUGCGCGGGCCACCAUGCUAGUUUUUUUUUUUGAAUGCCAAAAGAGGUAGUAUAUGACAUGGUACAUACGGAGUACCUUCUAUUAGUAUCUUCUCAAGCACCGUGAUAGAACAAAUGUCCAUCUAUCUCGAGGCAACAAAUUGCUCACCUUAGGAGCCAAACUACCGAAUGUAUAAUAAGAUCGUAGGUUGUGAUAUACAGGUUUAAUGCUUGAGAAUGCAACGGACAUUGCUCCAGUCAAGGUUAAGUACAUCUUGCACUAUUGUUAUGCACUUUUCUUUUGAGUGAGACCACCAAAAACAACAUAGGAAAUCCCCAAAAUUGAUAUGGCAAAGCUAUCUGAAAUAUACAGCCUUGACAAAUUACGUUUUGCAAGAGGAGUACAAGCAAAUUACAGAGCUAAUAACAAGCAGAGCAAGCACAUUCCACUUUGGAGGCUACAAGUCUACUACAGCUUCACCCUGCGGACCACUUGCAUCAACCCUAAUCGUAUGAAGAAGAUGGAUACAAACUUUGAGUUAUCAUAUCCAUCAGCCGGCGACCCCCCCAUCUUGAAUGCUUUCAUUUCCUCCACACGCGGACACACCGUGCUGUUUCUCAUCAAUCCGCCAAUUACAACCACACCUAUCGUUGUCACGAGGCGAUCAAUGACGAAUCGAUCGAACAGGAUCAACCCGAUGAUCACCAAGAAAUCGAGCAGCCGAAAUCGAAUUUGAGCGAGUCAAACCGAGGCACAGCUCGCGCAUCCGUGUUCGUGCACCGCACAACCAAUGCACGAAUCGAAUUAAACCCGUUAAAGAAUGUGUCGAACGAUUAGUUAAUUAGAAUUAAUCAAACGGGGAAGAAAUUAACAAACAACAAUUAUGGAUCAUCGAAGAGGUGAUCGAUCGAUCGAUCGAUCAUGGUGAGAGGUGGUGCAGGUUGAUCCCGGCGGUGACGUUGAAGUAGCUGAACGCCGCCGCCCACCGGCGGUUGUCCUUGAGCAUGUGCACGGCGACGGUGUCCGGCCGGAAGUUGUCCAUGUCCCAGCUGAGGUCGUACAUCCGCGGCUUGAGGUCGUAGCGAUUCCGGCCGCGUCCGGCGAGGUUGAGCCACUUCCCGACCAUGAGGUCCUCGGGCCCCUCCGUGUCGUUGCGCGCGAGGAUCUCCUCCGCCGUGGACACCCACGUCGCGACGUCCCACGACACGACGUACCCCAUGCCGUGCAUGAACGGCAUCGGCUGGCCGCCCAUGGCGUAGCCGUAGCCGAGGUAGACGUCGUCGCGGGGCUUGCCGCGGAGCUCGUCGGCGAGCGCCGCCACGCGGAGGUACGUGUCGUCGUCGGUCUUCAUGACGUAGUCGUAGGGGGACGACGCGAACAGGCGCGGCACGGAGGAGAGGUACGCGUGCGUCUUGCCGUGGUUCAUGUUCUCCUCGCAGCCGCCGAGCACCACGACGUCGCCGUGGCGCGCGGCCUCCAGCGCCACCAGCUGCGCGUCCACCGGGUCGGCCACGCGGCAGAACACGAAGCGGACGUCCACCCGCGCCCGCGCCGCCGCCGGCUGCAGCGCGUACGCCAGCCGCACGAUGUCGCGGCGCUCGUACCGCUUCGGCAUCGUCAGGACGCCGACGAGCAGGCUCAGCUCGGGCUUCUCCUCCUCCUUCGGCGCCGCCGGCGCCGCGACGGUGUAGUCCUCGGCGCCAGCGCUGCGGCGGGCGCAGAGGACGCCGAGGCCGCCAUCGGAGCCGACGCGGGCGCCGUUGAGAGAAGGGAGCAGGAAGACGACGGCGGCGAGGAGGAGCAG